rnacentral:rRNA from 1 species
CCCGGCCACAAGGCGGUAGGAGCUAUGGUGGUUAAGUUCGUAAGACAACGACGAAGAACCUUACCAGGCCUUGACAUGCAGAGAACUUCAGAGAUGGAUUGGUGCCUUCGGGACUCUGACACAGGUGCUGCAUGGCUGUCGUCAGCUCGUGUCGUGAGAUGUUGGGUUAAGUCCCGGUAACGAGCGCAACCCUUGUCUUAGUUACCAGCACGUUAUGGUGGGCACUCUAAGGAGACUGCCGGUGACAAACCGGAGGAAGGUGGGGAUGACGUCAAGUCAUCAUGGGCCCUUACGGCCUGGGCUACACACGUGCUACAAUGGUCGGUACAAAGGGUUGCCAAGCCGCGAGGUGGAGCUAAUCCCAUAAAACCGAUCGUAGUCCGGAUCGCAGUCUGCAACUCGACUGCGUGAAGUCGGAAUCGCUAGUAAUCGUGAAUCAGAAUGUCACGGUGAAUACGUUCCCGGGCCUU